rnacentral:rRNA from 1 species
AUACGGAAGGUCCGGGCGUUAUCCGGAUUUAUUGGGUUUAAAGGGAGCGCAGGCGGAGAUGCAAGCGUGACGUCAAAUUUCGGGGCUCAACCCCGUCUCGCGUCGCGAACUGCGUCCCUUGGUUGCGGGAAGGGGAGGCGGAACUCGUGGUGUAGCGGUGAAAUGCAUAGAUAUCACGAAGAACUCCGAUCGCGAAGGCAGCCUUCCGGCCCGUCAACGACGCUCAUGCUCGAGGGUGCGGGUAUCAAACAGGAUUAGAUACCCUGGUAGUCCGCACAGUAAACGAUGGACACCCGCGGUUUGGCCUGUAUGGCUGAGCCGCCAAGCGAAAGCGUUAAGUGUCCCACCUGGGGAGUACGCCGGCAACGGUGAAACUCAAAUGAAUUGACGGGG